UCCAUGAAUCCUCUAGGCGUAGGCCCAUCUAUAUGCCCAUGCCUAGCCCUUGCCAUGCCCCACCGUAUUAUGGGAGAGGAUCACCACCACGCGCAGGAAAGCGAGUACAGGGCCACCGCACGCAAUCUUCGACUCGCCAUCGAUUCAUCCUGGAUGAGCGCACUGUGGAUGUCACCAGGGAGCCAUGGAAGCUAGUGCAGACAUCACUCGGGACCGGAGAUGCCCUGCUCACGGUGGAUUGCACACCGACGGAAGUCUCAGCCAUGAAUCUGCCCCACACCGCGAGUCGAUCUCUUCGUGACAUCACCACUGGAGAAGAAAAGGUAUCGCCAGAGGAGACUACUACGAUGAGAUCUAGGUGUCGUCUCC
rnacentral:misc_RNA from 1 species